rnacentral:rRNA from 1 species
ACCCAGACUCCUACGGGAGGCAGCAGUGGGGAAUAUUGGGCAAUGGGCGCAAGCCUGACCCAGCAACGCCGCGUGAAGGAAGAAGGCUUUCGGGUUGUAAACUUCUUUUCUCAGGGACGAAGCAAGUGACGGUACCUGAGGAAUAAGCCACGGCUAACUACGUGCCAGCAGCCGCGGUAAUACGGAGGAUGCGAGCGUUAUCCGGAUUUAUUGGGUUUAAAGGGUGCGUAGGCGGAAUGCCAAGUCAGCGGUAAAAUCGGGGGGCUCAACCUCGCGCCGCCGUUGAAACUGGCGUUCUUGAGUGGGCGAGAAGUAUGCGGAAUGCGUGGUGUAGCGGUGAAAUGCAUAGAUAUCACGAAGAACUCCGAUUGCGAAGGCAGCCUACUAAACUGCCACUGACAUUGAUGCUCGAAAGUGUGGGUAUCAAACAGGAUUAGAUACCCCAGUA